UUUUUUUUUCUAUGGGUAGCCUAAAUUGCAUGCUUUAAUUUUUUUUUUUUUCAUGGUGAUAAAUAUUAAUUUGUGAAUUUCUUUUUUGUGCAUAUGAGCUUGUUGGAACUUGAUCUUGUAAUUAAGCUUCGUGUUUACACAUGGAGUGAAAUCUUUGAUUUUGGGUUCACUCCGUUUUAUCUCUUUGCUUUUGUUUUGGGGUUGUUUGUGUAAACCUAUUAGGCACUUUUCAGUUAGCAAUUUCGUGCUUCUCAUGGUAAAUUUUUCACAUGGGUACUCUUUGACCAAAAAUUAACAAAAAUGCAUUCCACAUGUCUGAACAAAGUAAUUGACUCUUGAAGCAAACAACUUUUGCACUAAAAAUGUUUUUGUUACUCUUUAAGACCCUGACUACUGCUUUGGUGAGCAUUCAGCAAUGUAACUUGGGUGGAUAUGAGUUAUGGUGGUAUAGAGUUGAAAAAUAGAUAUUUUCUAGGUGAUUGAUUGUAGGAACUUACUGGAUGGCAGAGAUGCCUUAUUUGUUCAUUUAAAAACUAGAAUUAAUAGUGAAAGUAUUGGCAAAGCGAUAUGGCUUUGCAAUGUUACUUUCUUUUGCUGUAGUUUUGGUUUUAUAUAUUUAAUGAAAUUUAUGUGCCUUACUGUGAAGGGCGAUGAGGUUUCAUUACAAAAGGCACUGAGUAUGGUUUACAAGAACAGUCACCAAUAUGUAGCUGUGCUCUUCUAUGCAUCAUGGUGCCCGUUCUCUAGGAGUUUUAGACCCAGCUUCUCCCUCCUUUCCUCUUUGUUUCCUUCCAUCCCCCAUUUUGCGAUUGAAGAAUCAUCCAUUAGGCCAAGCAUACUCUCAAAGUACGGAGUCCAUGGAUUUCCAACUCUAUUCCUUUUAAAUUCUACUAUGCAUGAUCGGUACCAUGGCUCCCGGACAUUGGGUUCUCUUGUUGCUUUCUAUACUGAUGUUACAGGCGUCAAGAUUGCAUCGCGGAAUAAAGGAUCCCUAGACAAAAUUGUACGCUCAUCAAACCAUGAAAAUAAUGAUAACAAUGACCAGGAAAGCUGCCCAUUCUCAUGGGCAAAAUCUCCAGAGAAUUUGUUUAGACAGGAAACAUAUUUGGCUCUGGCAACUGCGUUUGUGUUUUUGAGAUUGAUUUACAUAUUUUUCCCUACUCUGCUUGUAUUUGUUCAAUUUGCUUGGAGAGGGCAUAUUCGGAACUUGAGAUUGGGGAGCUUCUUGGAGCAUCCUCGGGCCUAUCUGAAUGGAAUAAUACAAGUAUUCAAUUCUCUGAAGGAGCCUUGCAGGAAAACUAAUUUACAAGAAGGAGCGAUGAAUGCCAGGGCAUGGGCGUCCAAGUCCCUUGUUACGGUGUCAAUAGGGGAUGCAAGCACCAGCAGAGGUCCACCAAUUAGUGAAUGCCGCUGAGUUUUUCUCUGAUUGUGCGAAGGGUAAAAUUUGACAUCCCUGGUUAUAGUUUAAUUUCGGGUCCACUGUUUGUGAUAAUGUGAAAUAUGUUGACAUUGUAGUAUCAAUUUGCAUUCGUCCAUAUGAUUUUGUAUACAAUUUAUUUUGCCAUUUAAGAAGCAAUAUAGAAAUCUACUGUGGAUGUAUGAAUGUUGAUAAGACUAGAUGUGUUCAAGCCAGUGUUAUUAGACCGGGCCUGGGCUCUCGGGUUGAUCCGGUGAUUUAGUUACUAAAUUGGGCAGA
rnacentral:misc_RNA from 1 species